rnacentral:rRNA from 1 species
GACGAACGCUGUCGGCGUGCUUAACACAUGCAAGUCGAACGGAAAGGCCCUGCUUUUGUGGGGUGCUCGAGUGGCGAACGGGUGAGUAACACGUGAGUAACCUGCCCUUGACUUUGGGAUAACUUCAGGAAACUGGGGCUAAUACCGGAUAGGAGCUCCUGCUGCAUGGUGGGGGUUGGAAAGUUUCGGCGGUUGGGGGUGGACUCGCGGCUUAUCAGCUUGUUGGUGGGGUAGUGGCUUACCAAGGCUUUGACGGGUAGCCGGCCUGAGAGGGUGACCGGCCACAUUGGGACUGAGAUACGGCCCAGACUCCUACGGGAGGCAGCAGUGGGGAAUAUUGCACAAUGGGCGGAAGCCUGAUGCAGCAACGCCGCGUGCGGGAUGACGGCCUUCGGGUUGUAAACCGCUUUCGCCUGUGACGAAGCGUGAGUGACGGUAAUGGGUAAAGAAGCACCGGCUAACUACGUGCCAGCAGCCGCGGUGAUACGUAGGGUGCGAGCGUUGUCCGGAUUUAUUGGGCGUAAAGGGCUCGUAGGUGGUUGAUCGCGUCGGAAGUGUAAUCUUGGGGCUUAACCCUGAGCGUGCUUCCGAUACGGGUUGACUUGAGGAAGGUAGGGGAGAAUGGAAUUCCUGGUGGAGCGGUGGAAUGCGCAGAUAUCAGGAGGAACACCAGUGGCGAAGGCGGUUCUCUGGGCCUUCCUGACGCUGAGGAGCGAAAGCGUGGGGAGCGAACAGGCUUAGAUACCCUGGUAGUCCACGCUGUAAACGGUGGGUACUAGGUGUGGGGUCCAUUCCACGGGUUCCGUGCCGUAGCUAACGCUUUAAGUACCCCGCCUGGGGAGUACGGCCGCAAGGCUAAAACUCAAAGGAAUUGACGGGGCCCCGCACAAGCGGCGGAGCAUGCGGAUUAAUUCGAUGCAACGCGUAGAACCUUACCUGGGUUUGACAUGGAUCGGGAGUGCUCAGAGAUGGGUGUGCCUCUUUUGGGGUCGGUUCACAGGUGGUGCAUGGCUGUCGUCAGCUCGUGUCGUGAGAUGUUGGGUUAAGUCCCGCAACGAGCGCAACCCUUGUUCACUGUUGCCAGCACGUUAUGGUGGGGACUCAGUGGAGACCGCCGGGGUCAACUCGGAGGAAGGUGGGGAUGACGUCAAGUCAUCAUGCCCCUUAUGUCCAGGGCUUCACGCAUGCUACAAUGGCUGGUACAGAGAGUGGCGAGCCUGUGAGGGUGAGCGAAUCUCGGAAAGCCGGUCUCAGUUCGGAUUGGGGUCUGCAACUCGACCUCAUGAAGUCGGAGUCGCUAGUAAUCGCAGAUCAGCAACGCUGCGGUGAAUACGUUCCCGGG